UAUGUUUACUAAUGCUGUUAGAGUAAUAUUAGGCCUAAAAUUAUGAUUCUGGGGUGGAAUUGGAUCACAAAUUCUGGAAUUGUUGGCAUCGGGAUCUGCUGGAGGAAAUGCGGUUGAAUGAACAUUUAUCCAGUUAGACAAAAGUGGAUAGGAGACGAAUCUUCGGCAUAGCUGGACAUGGUAGCUACAAGUGAGUUUUUAUCAACACAUUCAACGACUGAUAGAGAAGGGAAAUUUUAAAUAUGUGAUUAAAUUUCUUCAAACGAAAAAGGAAACGUUUUCAUUUGGGAAGCAAGAGGAGUGACUUUCCGAUUCGUCUCAAAUAUAAAAAAGUAUAAAUUGUCAAUCAGUGCUUGAAAGUAUCCAAUGUAAGUGGAAAACAUGUGGAGCAAGGUACGGCUUCUCCGGCGUGUGGCUUCUCCGGCGUGUCUCAACAUAAUCAAGGUAGGUUAACUUUUUAAUCAUAGACUCUGCAUUUCUUUAUUAUUAUUACUAUUCUGCAUUUCUUUAUUAUUAAUAUUACUAUAAUGGAUAAUUAUAACACACUUAAAUUGUACAAAAGUGUGAGUGCGCAUGAUCCACCAAGUCAAAAAAUAAAAGUUCCAAAAUAGGCGAAGAGAAGUUUUAACGAUGAAGGUUGGAACACUGCUCUAAAAUUACUCUUACUCGUUGCAAGUGGCCGUGUUUCAUAAAUUGAAUUCAAUUAACACUGAAAUUAAUUGCUAUCAUUUAUUCCAAGCCGAAACAUUCUAUCUGUACCGGUAUAGGCAUCUAUGUGUAAUGUGAAACAAAAAUGAAUGCAAAAUAACAUUGGCGGAGGUCAUUUCGCUUUUGCUGAAAUCAUAAAGGCGUUUUUAAUUGGGCUGGAAUAUUUGGGAUUCCAUAGUUUUAACUUGUAUUUUAUCAUGCAGUUUAUGCCCUGAAAACGAGGAUAAGCGAAUAAGGUGAAAGCGAAUCUCACGAAUCGAGAGUUUGUUGAACUGCGUUCUGGUUGGAAAGAUCAAAGGACAGUCGACAACUGGACACGUACGUUUAAGAACAUUGGAAGGAAUUGUCGUACCAUCUUGAUUAUAUAAACAGUGUAUUUUAAUUUUUUAUAUAACCAUUUUUCUACCCGAGUUUGCCGGAUAUCAAAGCUUGCCCCAGUAGUGGCGUAUCUGCGUGAAAUGGCGCCUACGGGAAUGUUCAAAAUGAGCCCUCUUUAUCGAUCGUUUACUGAAAUUUUUACCUACGGUUUGUUGCUUUGUGAUACUUUCACGUUUUUUAAGUGGUUUUUAUCAAAAUGAGGUUUCGCCCAUUGUGCGCCCUCGUCCAAAUGGCGCCCGUGUUAGGGGCAAUGGCCCUCUUGCUAUAUAUGUAUGCCACGGAGCCCAGGUAUCGCCCAGAAAUUCACAAUUCUUCAUUUCGUGUCUGAUCAUGGCAGAAAAGCUUGAUAUCUCGAUGUUGCUCGCUUUUGAACAAUCCGUCCCUGCAUUCCCAUUAAUAUCUCCAUUUUAAUUAAUAUUUCCAUUUCCAUGUAGAAUUAUGUUUGUUCUCUUGCUUGAAAAAUAAUAAAAUUAUUGAAGCGAUA